rnacentral:rRNA from 1 species
GAUGAACGCUGGCGGCGUGCCUAAUACAUGCAAGUCGAGCGAACGGACGAGAAGCUUGCUUCUCUGAUGUUAGCGGCGGACGGGUGAGUAACACGUGGAUAACCUACCUAUAAGACUGGGAUAACUUCGGGAAACCGGAGCUAAUACCGGAUAAUAUUUUGAACCGCAUGGUUCAAAAGUAAAAGACGGUCUUGCUGUCACUUAUAGAUGGAUCCGCGCUGCAUUAGCUAGUUGGUAAGGUAACGGCUUACCAAGGCAACGAUGCAUAGCCGACCUGAGAGGGUGAUCGGCCACACUGGAACUGAGACACGGUCCAGACUCCUACGGGAGGCAGCAGUAGGGAAUCUUCCGCAAUGGGCGAAAGCCUGACGGAGCAACGCCACGUGAGUGAUGAAGGUCUUCGGAUCGUAAAACUCUGUUAUUAGGGAAGAACAUAUGUGUAAGUAACUGUGCACAUCUUGACGGUACCUAAUCAGAAAGCCACGGCUAACUACGUG